rnacentral:rRNA from 1 species
UGGGGCAUAUUGCACAAUGGGCGCAAGCCUGAUGCAGCCAUGCCGCGUUUAUGAAGAAGGCCUUCGGGUUGUAAAGUACUUUCAGUCGGGAGGACGGUGGUAAGGUUAAUAACCUUAUCAAUUGACGUUACCGACAGAAGAAGCACCGGCUAACUCCGUUCCAGCAGCCGCGGUAAUACGGAGGGUGCAAGCGUUAAUCGGAAUUACUGGGCGUAAAGCCCACGCAGGCGGUUGAUUGAGUCAGAUGUGAAAUCCCCGGGCUUAACCCGGGAAUUGCAUCUGAUACUGGUCAGCUAGAGUCUUGUAGAGGGGGGUAGAAUGCCAAGUGUAGCGGUGAAAUGCGUAGAGAUGUGGAGGAAUACCGGUGGCGAAGGCGGCCCCCUGGACAAAGACUGACGCUCAGGUGCGAAAGCGUGGGGAGCAAACAGG